UUUAUCUUUGUUUUAGUAUCAUAGUUUAGUUUUUAAUUUUUUGUACUUUGUUCUUAUAUCAUUUGUGUAAUACCCCACAAGAUUUUAGACUAGUUUCCAGCUAUUUAUCACAUGUUUAGAAGUCCCAUAGCUAUUUAAUUUACACAAAGUACAAGUGAUAUGGCCAUUUUGACACCCCAAGAUUUCGAACAUUUUAAUUUUGGUCUUCUCGAGUUUGAAAUGUUGAUUUGUGAGUUGAAAUAUGUUUAGGGAUAUUAAAAGGGUCAUCUGAGAGAGUUUUAAAAUUUUCAAAAGAGGUUUGGGGCAUUUUUGGACCACGGAGGCAGUAAGCCUUCGUGAUUUCAGUAUGUCGCAGAGGUUAGCCUCCGUG
rnacentral:lncRNA from 1 species